rnacentral:miRNA from 1 species
CGAGGCUGACUGGGACUAAGCGGC